GGGUGCUAUGGGAUGCUAUGGGGUCCCUAUGGGGUGCUAUAGGGUGCUAUUCAAUGACUAUGGGGUGCUAUGGGAUGCUAUGGGGUCCCUAUGGAGUGCUAUUCAGUGACUAUAGGCUGCUAUGGGACGCUAUGGGGUGCUAUGGGGUCGCAUUUCCCUCACCAACACGCAAUCCCGAUCCCGGACCCAAAAUCCAACACAGUCUGUGGGGUAAAAGUGGGGACGCGGAGCUGAAUCUGUAGGGCAGGGAUGGCGUCAGCCCCAGAGAAUUCCCCACAGAGACCCCACAGGGAUCCCAUAGAGAGACCCCAUAGGGACCCCAUAGGGCUCCACCUCACGCAGUGCUCUCCCCACAGCCGCAUGGUCCCGCUGCAACCUCAUGGCCAUGUAGGAACGCGCCAGCUCUGCUGGGUGCCUGUAGGGGAAGUUAUGGGGUCAGGGGGCACCGGGACCCCAUAGUGACCCAUAGGGACCCUGUAGGGACACAUACGGACAGUUAUGGGGCUGCAGGGGGCAUUGGGACCCAUAGGGACCCCAUAGGGACCCAUAGGGACAGUUAUGGGGCUGCAGGAGGCACGGGGACCCACAGAGACCCCAUAGGGACCCAUAGGGACCCCGUAGGGACCCAUAGGGGAAGUUAUAGGGUCAGGGGGCACUGGGACUCCAUAGCGACCCAUAGGGACCCCAUAGGGACCCAUAGGGACAGUUAUGGGGCUGCAGGAGGCACGGGGACCCACAGAGACCCCAUAGGGACCCAUAGGGACCCCGUAGGGACCCAUAGGGGAAGUUAUAGGGUCAGGGGGCACUGGGACUCCAUAGCGACCCAUAGGGACCCCAUAGGGACCCAUAGGGACAGUUAUGGGGCUGCAGGGGACAUGGGGACCCACAGAGACCCCAUAGUGACCCAUAGGGACCCCAUAGGGACCCAUAGGGGCAGUUAUGGGGCUGCUGGGGGCACCGGGACACAUAGAGACCCACAAGGACCCCAUAAAUACCUCACUUUGGGUCCUGGCUUCUGCUGCGCCUCCUCCGCACCCCAAAGCUCUUCGUCCUGUAGGAUGCUCUGUGCUGCCCUGGCCAGGGCUGGGGGCAGCUGCAGCACUUUGGGGUGCCGAACCCCCCCGUGCUUAUGUCUCCGUUCGCCCCGCACGCCCCACAGCAGCCGCCGUGCCCACAUGGGCGCCGCCAUCUUGCCGCCGGCACGCCGGAAGAGGAAAAGGAGGGGCUCGGCGGCUCGGCCAAUAGGAGGGGACGGAGCGUGAUGGACGGCUGGGAUGACCAACGGGAGAGCGAAAGAGGUUUCGCCGCGCGUUCCCCAUUGGUUGCUCCCAAUCACCGCCUCGGGGCCCUUAAGAGCGAAAUCAGGACCUUCUCCUUUAAAGAAACGGGAUAAAAAAGCCAUAGUUUAUUUUGUUAAUGAAAAUACGUAAUUACAAAAGCAAAAAUAUCAACCCUUCAGCAGCUCUAUGGUUGGUACGGAAUAGCGCGGCACACACAGAAGUGACGCUCCAGCAUUCAAUCCUGGUCAGUCCUCCAACGUCUCUAUGGUCGUAAGUCCUCCACCGUCUCUAUGGUUGUAAGUCCUCCACCAUCUCUAUGGCCACGAGUCCUCCACUGUCUGUAUAGCCAUAAGUUCCCCAUUGUCUCUCCGGUCACAAGUCCUCCAUACCAUAGACACCGCAAGAUCUCCAACACACUCAGGGUAGUCCUCCCAGCACCAAUGAGAGAACAAAACAACCCCAACAGUCUCUAUGAUCACAGUGACAGUUCUGCACCAAGAAAACCAUAGAGAGCAGAGAACUCCAUCCCCCAUUUCCUCCCCCCUAUGCUCUCCACUCAACGCAAGGCCGCCCUUUGGACGCUCUACCCCCUCGCCGCUCCUCUCUGUGGUCCUCAGUCCUCCAGCAGCGCUCCCAGCAUCCCCCGGGGCGCCGCCCACAGCCGCUCCCAUUGGCUGCGGCCGCGCAGGAAGAGCUCCAGGUGGAGGCGGUGCUCAACAUGGCGCCCGUGGGGGUCCCUCAGCAGAGCCCGGCGUUGGGGGGCUGCGGGUGUGGGGCAGAGCUCAGCCUCAUCGAGGCCUUCCUCAAACCCACAAAGGGAUUCUGGGGGGGGGGGGGGGGGGAACAGGGCCGUUUUGGGGUUCCUCACCCAGCUCGGAGGCGAUGGCGGCACGCAUGGGGGCGGAGCAGGAAGCCAAGAUGGCGUCCAGGACACGGCUGCCGUUGCGGUGGCAGGCGAGGGACAGGAAAUGGCCCUGUGAUGUCACGAAGGGGGCGGGGCUACAGUGAGAGGCUCCGCCCCCAACCACGGUGGCGCUUAUGAAGGUGGGCGGGGCUUCGUUGAGGCUCCACCUCCA
rnacentral:lncRNA from 1 species